rnacentral:rRNA from 1 species
CCUACGGGAGGCUGCAGUAGGGAAUCUUCCACAAUGGACGAAAGUCUGAUGGAGCAACGCCGCGUGAGUGAAGAAGGGUUUCGGCUCGUAAAGCUCUGUUGGUAGUGAAGAAAGAUAGAGGUAGUAACUGGCCUUUAUUUGACGGUAAUUACUUAGAAAGUCACGGCUAACUACGUGCCAGCAGCCGCGGUAAUACGUAGGUGGCAAGCGUUGUCCGGAUUUAUUGGGCGUAAAGCGAGUGCAGGCGGUUCAAUAAGUCUGAUGUGAAAGCCUUCGGCUCAACCGGAGAAUUGCAUCAGAAACUGUUGAACUGGAGUGCAGAAGAGGAGAGUGGAACUCCAUGUGUAGCGGUGGAAUGCGUAGAUAUAUGGAAGAACACCAGUGGCGAAGGCGGCUCUCUGGUCUGCAACUGACGCUGAGGCUCGAAAGCAUGGGUAGCGAACAGGAUUAGAUACCCCAGUAGUC